UUUAAUUGAAGAGUUUGAUCAUGGCUCAGAUUGAACGCUGGCGGCAGGCCUAACACAUGCAAGUCGAACGGUAGCACAGAGAGCUUGCUCUUGGGUGACGAGUGGCGGACGGGUGAGUAAUGUCUGGGAAACUGCCCGAUGGAGGGGGAUAACUACUGGAAACGGUAGCUAAUACCGCAUAACGUCUUCGGACCAAAGUGGGGGACCUUCGGGCCUCACACCAUCGGAUGUGCCCAGAUGGGAUUAGCUAGUAGGUGGGGUAACGGCUCACCUAGGCGACGAUCCCUAGCUGGUCUGAGAGGAUGACCAGCCACACUGGAACUGAGACACGGUCCAGACUCCUACGGGAGGCAGCAGUGGGGAAUAUUGCACAAUGGGCG
rnacentral:rRNA from 1 species